rnacentral:rRNA from 1 species
GAUGAGAAUGUGCCUUCGGGAACCGUGAGACAGGUGCUGCAUGGCUGUCGUCAGCUCGUGUUGUGAAAUGUUGGGUUAAGUCCCGCAACGAGCGCAACCCUUAUCCUUUGUUGCCAGCGGUCCGGCCGGGAACUCAAAGGAGACUGCCAGUGAUAAACUGGAGGAAGGUGGGGAUGACGUCAAGUCAUCAUGGCCCUUACGACCAGGGCUACACACGUGCUACAAUGGCGCAUACAAAGAGAAGCGACCUCGCGAGAGCAAGCGGACCUCAUAAAGUGCGUCGUAGUCCGGAUUGGAGUCUGCAACUCGACUCCAUGAAGUCGGAAUCGCUAGUAAUCGUGGAUCAGAAUGCCACGGUGAAUACGUUCCCGGGCCUUGUACACACCGCCCGUCACACCAUGGGAGUGGGUUGCAAAAGAAGUAGGUAGCUUAACCUUCGGGAGGGCGCUUACCACUUUGUGAUUCAUGACUGGGGUGAAGUCGUAACAAGGUAACCGUAGGGGAACCUGCGGUUGGAUCAC